CCACCGGAGCGCGUACCAACAGACGGAUACGAAGUCCAGCUCUGAGGCCUGGUUUAAAAAUGAGAGUUACGAGAGCAAUGGCGCUUUGUUGUGGCCUGUUCAGUGAAGCAACCGAAGUGUUGGUGGCAUUAGAGGGGAGAGAGAAUCGGCAAAGGUUUCUUAUACCGGGGAAGUUGAGUGAGAGAUCAGUUGAGAAAAUGUCGUGGAGAGGGAAGAGAAAGGAUGAGGAAGACCGUUCGUCCGGUGCCAAAUCUGACGUUCACCAGCCUCCCAAGAAAUACUCCAAGGUUUCUUCCUCCGACGACUCUGACGGCAUCGUCGUCUGCGAGUUAUCGAAAAAUAGGAGAGUUUCUGUGAGGAACUGGCAGGGCAAGACUUGGGUCGAUAUUCGCGAGUUCUAUGUCAAGGAUGGCAAGCAAUUACCGGGAAAGAAAGGCCACCAGGCUGCAGGUUCGAUCAUUGUUCACUACCUUCCAGUGGUAAAUGGAUUCCUAGGGGAUGAAAGGAUAAGAUCAUGGGCGUAGCAUUUGAUCAUUCAUUCACUAGUUGGUUACUCGAUAAACUUUCCUUUCCUUCUCAUAAAGGGAUCUUCUUUUCUAUGUUUUUGGGCUUUUCAACAGCAAGGAAUUCCUUGAACAUUGCUAACUUCUCUCUCUCUCUCUCUCUCUCUCUGUGCCUAUGGAAAAAUGAUUUUUGGAAUAUGCUAUUGGUGUUUUAUGAUAUUUAUGUAAAAUUAUUUGGUGAGGCUAGUCCACACAUUAGGCACUGCCUGGGGGAGUGCCCAACCAAUCACCUUAAUAGGAAUGCAUCAUUAUGUUAACAAGCUCUGUGUUACUACUUAACUGCCAUUAAUUUCAUUUCGCAACUCUUGAAUUUGAUUGGCUGAGUAUCAGCAUAAUUGUUGGACACUAUGUUGGUCUCAUAGUUUUUCGAAAUUCAGUGAGUUAACCAUUUAUCUUUUCAUUUCCUGUUUGUUACAGGUAUUUCUCUGAAUAUCGACCAGUGGAGGGUGCUUGUGAAUCAUGUUGAGGAGAUUGACGAAGAACUUGGUGAGGAUUAGGACAUGGCAUUAAUGGAGAUGGAAUAUUGUUGAUAUUACUAUAUAUAAAUGGUAAGUUGUCAGAGAUCGAGGUUUUUUCUUUUUGGACAGUUAGUUUUGAGAAACUCAGAUGCAACCGACACAGAUGAUGUAGUGAAAAUAGCAGGACUGCCUUUAUGUAUGGAUUAAAGACUCUUUUCAAAGGAGCCUUGCCUGUGCAUUGGUUGAAUAAUUUGUUGGUAUGUUUUAGUUUACUAUGUGAAAUUUUUUGAACAUACCUUUCAUUUUUUAUAGAUAUUAGUAUUGUCUUACCCA